UUUAGCUCCGCAACCAAAUCCUUCAAUCGAGCAUUGUAUUGAAGCGCCAGUUUGUUGGCCAAAUCCACACACUCAUCUUCGUUAAGCUGAUUUAUGGUCUUCUGGUAAGCACAAAGUCAGAGGGUGCCUAGUUUCAUCCACGAUGACCUAUUCAACAAAGACUAUUAAUUACAGAAGACAUUAAAACCAACCCUUAACUCCUAAUUUCGUGUUAUUGGAAAGUAAUACAACAGUCCAUCUGCACUCAACAACUCAAGAAAACCAGUGCCUUCUUGUUACAUAUCCUGUUGUCUCAGUUUUGCUGAAAUGGCAAGUUCCAGAAUGGACCUUCGUUGGACCAAGUUGACCGUGCGUCAUUCAUUUUCAACUAUGUAUGUUUGCACUCUCAACGAACGGUUGACAGAGGAGCAACGGGAACUCAUUUCGAAGACUCCAUUUGCUUGGCUCAAGAUGCAAUGUCGCCAAAUGCACCGGGUGGAAUGUCCAACAACCAAUCACAGCUGAAGACUUAUGUUAGGAUUGGUUCAAGAAGGCGUUUUAAGAGCCAAACACUUGGGACAUCAUACACUGAAAAUGUAGUAGUUAGAAAGAAAAAUGACUAAUUAUUGUAUUAGACUUGAGUGUUAGGACAAGAAAAAGAUGUUGUAAUUAAACCUAUUUGGUUCAAUAUAUAGAACAUCCAUGUUUGGUUCAAUACAUUUAUGUAAUUGGAAAUAAAAUGUGUCUUUUAUUAAAGUGCUUUAUAAUUUGAUUUCCAAGUGAUAAUGUUUGUGGAAAA